rnacentral:tRNA from 1 species
CUGAAUAGGCGGGCCUCGAUCCCGC